rnacentral:rRNA from 1 species
GAUGAACGCUGGCGGAAUGCUUUACACAUGCAAGUCGAACGGCAGCACGGGGCAACCUGGUGGCGAGAGGCGAACGGGUGAGUAAUACAUCGGAACGUGCCCAAUCGUGGGGGAUAACGUAGCGAAAGUUACGCUAAUACCGCAUACGAUCUACGGAUGAAAGCGGGGGAUCGCAAGACCUCGCGCGAAUGGAGCGGCCGAUGUCAGAUUAGGUAGUUGGUGGGGUAAAGGCUCACCAAGCCAACGAUCUGUAGCUGGUCUGAGAGGACGACCAGCCACACUGGGACUGAGACACGGCCCAGACUCCUACGGGAGGCAGCAGUGGGGAAUUUUGGACAAUGGGCGCAAGCCUGAUCCAGCCAUCCCGCGUGCAGGAUGAAGGCCUUCGGGUUGUAAACUGCUUUUGUACGGAACGAAACGGCUCUCUCUAAUACAGGGGGCUAAUGACGGUACCUGAAGAAGAAGCACCGGCUAACUACGUGCCAGCCGCCGCGGUAACAC